AACUUGAUAGAAGCACUGAAGUAGCCAUGUAAGUAUAGGUCCUGAGAAACGAAUCCAGACCCUGUUCUUUCAUCUAGCGAUAAAUGGACUUUCUUGCCAUCUUUGUGAAUGACCAGAUUAUCAUCCCCAAAAAGCUGGGUGUAUCCUUCAUCAAAUGGUAUAAUAGGUAAAGUUCUUCGAGACCCAGAAACAAGAACAGCAAAUAAAGAUAAAAUUAGGAGAAAACCAGAAGGCAGGUGAGAGACCACCAUUUUUGUGUUAAUUGGUGUGUUCAUUAUAUCUUUUUCUUUGAGUCUUGCCUUAAAUAAAUGGAGUCUCUCUGUUUCUUGUGUGAACGGUGAAUAUAUAAGGAGAAGAUGAGUAACGAGGAAGGAGAAGACAGAAGCAGUGUGUCGAGGAGGAAUGUCCCUAGAAACAGAGAGCCCAAAAGGCUAAUGAGAGAAGAAAGAGAACAGGGAGGUCAUUUCAUUGAGAGGGAGAGGUGUUGAGCUGAGCUGUUCUCAUG
rnacentral:misc_RNA from 1 species